CCCACAGGGAGAAUGCUGAACAUGCAGUAGAUGGAAACAGAGGCUCCUGCUCUCACACUAAUCCUGAGUUUAAUCCAUGGUGGAGAAUUGACCUUGGAAAUGUCUACAGUGAGGCAAAAUUGAACCUCCUUCACAAAUCAACCACUCAGAGAGCCACAGCCAUGGAGAUGAACUUUACUUGAACAUAUUUUAUCCAGACUGUGAUUAGACAUUUGGCUGCAACUAUCGUCACUGCUCCUGAUGGCACACAAACAUUUUCAUUUGAGCCUGUUAUUGGCCGAUAUGUCAACAUUUUUUUACCUGGGAAUGAUGAAGUCCUUACUCUGUGUGAAGUCGAG